GAGUAUUGAAGGAGGUUUGGGUCUGCCUUGGUCGGAUUUGGUAAAGAAAGGUGCAGUUGACUUUGAAAUUCAACCAUGGCUUUCAUUAUCAGAUGGUGCCAAAGAUUAAUUUGAAAGAUGCUGAGACAAGCAAAUUGCACAGAGGAUAUGUGGAUAUGUUGUUGCAGCAAAAAUGUUAUCACUUGGCUGGACACUUGCUAGCUUGGAGGAGAGAGAUUUUUUUUUUUUUGAGAG